CAGUAGGGAUCUUCCACAAUGGACGAAAGUCUGAUGGAGCAACGCCGCGUGAGUGAAGAAGGUUUUCGGAUCGUAAAACUCUGUUGUUGGAGAAGAAUGUAUCUGAUAGUAACUGAUCAGGUAGUGACGGUAUCCAACCAGAAAGCCACGGCUAACUACGUGCCAGCAGCCGCGGUAAUACGUAGGUGGCAAGCGUUGUCCGGAUUUAUUGGGCGUAAAGCGAGCGCAGGCGGUUUUUUAAGUCUGAUGUGAAAGCCUUCGGCUCAACCGAAGAAGUGCAUCGGAAACUGGGAAACUUGAGUGCAGAAGAGGACAGUGGAACUCCAUGUGUAGCGGUGAAAUGCGUAGAUAUAUGGAAGAACACCAGUGGCGAAGGCGGCUGUCUGGUCUGUAACUGACGCUGAGGCUCGAAAGCAUGGGUAGCAAACAGGAUUAGAUACCCUGGUAGUCCAUGCCGUAAACGAUGAGUGCUAGGUGUUGGAGGGUUUCCGCCCUUCAGUGCCGCAGCUAACGCAUUAAGCACUCCGCCUGGGGAGUACGAUCGCAAGAUUGAAACUCAAAGGAAUUGACGGGCC
rnacentral:rRNA from 1 species